rnacentral:rRNA from 1 species
CAGCAGCCGCGGUAAUUCCAGCUCCAAUAGCGUAUACUAAAGCUGCUGCGGUUAAAAAGCUCGUAGUUGGAUCUCAGUUCCAGACGAGUAGUGCAUCUACCCGAUGCGACGGCUCGGACUGAACAUCAUGCCGGUUCUUUCUUGGUGCACUUCAUUGUGUGCCUCGAGAUGGCCGGUGCUUUUACUUUGAAAAAAUUAGAGUGCUCAACGCAGGCGAGUCGCCUGAAUAAACUUGCAUGGAAUAAUAGAACAAGACCUCGUUUCUGUUCUGUUGGUUUUUGGAAUACGAGGUAAUGAUUAAGAGGGACGGACGGGGGCAUUCGUAUUGCGGCGCUAGAGGUGAAAUUCUUGGACCGUCGCAAGACGAACUACUGCGAAAGCAUUUGCCAAGAAUGUUUUCAUUGAUCAAGAACGAAAGUCAGAGGUUCGAAGGCGAUCAGAUACCGCCCUAGUUCUGACCAUAAACGAUGCCAACCAGCGAUCCGCCUGAGUUACUCAAAUGACUCGGCGGGCAGCUUCCGGGAAACCAAAGUAUUUGGGUUCCGGGGGAAGUAUGGUUGCAAAGCUGAAACUUAAA